GCACAUCCUCUUUUAUUAACCAUAUGUAACAAACCCUGAAACAACAAAAAGACCACGCCUUUUAUUCUGCAGGUACUGCUUCGCCCUGCAAUCACAACGAAUACUGCCUCUGCUAUCCAGCCGAUUUAGGUAAGGUACCAGAAUACAAAAACCUAUAUAUAUUAACCUAUAUUUACACGUCUACAAUUAACCAGAUUAGAACGCUGCAGCUGCAAAAAUGGUUGACAUCUUCAACAACCAGCGAUGACCGACAUGGAGCGUGUACCUCCAUCUGACGCACUUUGCUACGUACAAUACUAGAACUGUUCAAUUUAUAAAAUAAUGCACCAUAUAUGUGUGCUGCUACUGUAAUAUAACUUGAACAAUAUUAAAGAAGACAACAACCGCAGUUUCUCAGAAGGCAGGCAUGCAGAGAAUACCUACUAUUUUGACUAUGAGGUCGAGUGCUACAUACCGCCGAAGAAGGGGAACCAGGGCAGGAAGAGAAAGGCUGGAGCACCUGCUGUUUUGGGGUAUAGGUCAAAUAACUAGUGAACUUAGGUGGACAGACUAGAGGGGAACCAGGGCAGGAAGAGAAAGGCUGGAGCAGCUGCUGUUUUGGGGUACCGGUCAAUUAACUAGUGAACUUAGGUGGACAGAAAUGCCACCCUAGUGGUCAAAAUGCCUGCUUUUGUUUGUACAUACAUGCUGAAACAGCUGCUGAAAAUGAAUGACACUAAUAUCAGCUUAACAGGGCAUUAUUAUCCUUUUGGUCGCUGUGUUGAUUUUAAAUCAUGCCUGACUUGUUUACCCACUGCUUUCUCAUGACAUGAAUGUCUCGAUUAUAUCAUCUUCAUUCACUUAGAAGAAAAAUAUCCCGUUUAAUGAAUGUGACUAGACAACUAAUGUUGGAGUUCAGACUUUGUAAAGGGAACAAGAGACUAUACAUAGCUACAGAUUUCCAUCUCAUUUCAUGGAGUAUCUCACGUGGCACAACAAGAUGUGAUGAAAAAAAUGCAAAAUAAAUGACAAAACAUAUUAUUUGUAGUUAUAAUAUCUAUAGGGGAUAAAAAAAUGAGAAAACAAAAACAAAGAAAACAUGUGAGGUCUUGGGGGACAAAUGAUGAGGGGAUGAAAACAGAAAACUAAAGGAUAAAGUACAUUAUAUAUAGUUAUUUUCAAAGAAGACAAAAUUAAAUAGAAAUUAAUUUUAAAAAACGCCAACUAAGGUUUCAUGAGACACAAGAAGAUGGGAUGAAAAUAGGAAGACUUAAAGAAAUGAUUAUAUUACCUAUAGUUUAUUUUAAAAGGGACAAAAAAUAGAAAAUAAACACAAAAAUGAGGCGGUUGCGGUUUGAACCAGCGACCUCUUACUGAAGAGGCAAUAUGCCCACCACUGGACCACCAAGGCACAUCAGUCAUUCUAAUAUAAUUUCAAGUACAAGGCAUAGCCCACAGGGUACGCCGUGGCCCACCUGGCAUACCCUGUGGGUCUGCCCCUAAAAAUUCCAGUAGUCAUAAAAAUACCUACUAACAAAGUACUUAAUUAAUCCAAAUGUACUACACAAUUAUAUAUUACUUUGAAUAUAAUCGUUCAUGAAAACAUAAAUGGAAACAUGACUCAGCAGCC
rnacentral:lncRNA from 1 species